GACGAACGCUGGCGGCGUGCUUAACACAUGCAAGUCGAACGGAAAGGCCUGCUUUCCCUUGUGGAUUGCGGGUACUCGAGUGGCGAACGGGUGAGUAACACGUGAGUGAUCUGCCCCCAACUUGGGUAUAAGCCUGGGAAACUGGGUCUAAUUCCCGAUAGGACUGCAGGGUGGUGCCUGUGGUGGAAAACGAUUUUCUAGUGGUUGGGGAUGAGCUCGCGGCCUAUCAGCUUGUUGGUGGGGUAAUGGCCUACCAAGGCGGCGACGGGUAGCCGGCCUGGGAGGGUGGACGGCCACAUUGGGACUGAGAUACGGCCCAGACUCCUACGGGAGGCAGCAGUGGGGAAUAUUGCACAAUGGGCGGAAGCCUGAUGCAGCGACGCCGCGUGGGGGAUGACGGCCUUCGGGUUGUAAGCUCCUUUCGACCGCGAGGAAGCCACCUGGUUGGAAGGGUGGUGACGGUAGUGGUAGAAGAAGCACCGGCUAACUACGUG
rnacentral:rRNA from 1 species